rnacentral:rRNA from 1 species
CCUCAAAUCAGGCGGGACUACCCGCUGAACUUAAGCAUAUCAAUAAGCGGAGGAAAAGAAACUAACAAGGAUUCCCCUAGUAACUGCGAGUGAAGCGGGAAAAGCUCAAAUUUAAAAUCUGGCAGUCUUUGGCUGUCCGAGUUGUAGUCUGGAGAAGCGUCUUCCGCGCUGGACCGUGUACAAGUCUCCUGGAACGGAGCGUCAUAGAGGGUGAGAAUCCCGUCUUUGACACGGGCUACCAGUGCUUUGUGAUGCGCUCUCAAAGAGUCGAGUUGUUUGGGAAUGCAGCUCAAAAUGGGUGGUAAACUCCAUCUAAAGCUAAAUAUUGGCGAGAGACCGAUAGCGAACAAGUACCGUGAGGGAAAGAUGAAAAGCACUUUGGAAAGAGAGUUAAACAGUACGUGAAAUUGCUGAAAGGGAAACGCUUGAAGUCAGUCGCGUCCGCUAGAACUCAGCCUGGCUUUUGCUUGGUGCAUUUUCUAGUGGACGGGCCAGCAUCACUUUUGGCUGCGGGAUAAAGGUCGCAGGAAUGUGGCACCUUCGGGUGUGUUAUAGCCUGUGAUUGUAUACCGUGGCUGGGAGUGAGGACCGCAGCACGCCUUCAUGGCGGGGGUUCGCCCACCUUCGUGCUUAGGAUGCA